CGGCAUAGCUCAGUCGGUAGAGCAACUCAUUCGUAAUGAGUAGGUCGCUGGUUCGAUUCCGGUUGCCGG
rnacentral:tRNA from 1 species